AGAAAUGUUCAGUAAACGACACAAGUUUUCCCGAUGUACUCCGGGUUUUACAUCAGUGUUGUUUGCAACGCCGUAUCCUUCAAUUUCAUUGAAGACAUCAAGCGAACAUAAACUUGAACGGUGUAUGAUGUGCUUGCAAAAGUAAAAAAACAACGUACAUAAACGCCAACGUGUACAUAGAGAUUUUCAUUGAAAAGAUGUACUCCGGAAUUAUUCCGCUUUUGACUCCAUUUUAUAUUUUUAUUUGAGCUCUCUACGUUUGAGGUAGCAAAGGUAUACACAUGAAUACAAAAACGAAAAAAAGUUUCUUUUUUUCUCUCUUUUGAAAUGGUAAUAUACGCUGUUAAAAUAUAUAAACAUGCAGAUAUGUAGUACCUAUUGCAAGAUUGCAAUAUUUUUAAAAAUUGUUACAUAAAAAAGUAAGCAAAUUCAGUUCUAGAAUUAAUAGAUUAAAUUAAACUACAGGGACUUCGGCUUGUCAACUAAAAUCACCAUGGACCUGCUAGAGCACUAGAUUUUUCAUUACAGAAGAAGUUUAAGAACUGAAUCGUUUCUCUAUAGAGAAAAGGUUGAAAAGCAUUUUAAUUUGAGGAUAUUCCAACCUGAAGCAAGUUGUACCAAUGUUAAUGAUGGAAGGCCCUGUUAGAAUACUGUGCAUACCUGGGGCUAAAACUUAAUCAAAGAUGACCUAUGCUGAAGUGGUGAGACUUGCUAUGCAUGUAACAGGAGACCAAACUGAGACCACCUUUGAUAUAAAGUGUAUAGAAAUGAAGAAAUCAAUGGGAGCCCCUGCCAAAAGGAGGAGUGUUGUUACAGAAUAUAAGUUCCCAAUGAAACAGGGUAUAGAUGAGUGAUCUAGUGUUUGAGUUCACUGAGGAUGUGGCUGUCAUCCUAACAAACAAAGGUUUACAUAGUAUUUAUCAGGCAACAUUCAGACAGUCAGAUAUUCUACAUUUCGGGUACGGAAUAAAGAAAUUGCUGUUGAGGAAGAGAGGAGUUUCUGUGACGAGAUUGAUACACAUAGAGCAUUUGGUAGUGUAUAAUAACAAAGUGUAAUGAAGUUGUGAGUAGUAUUUUAACCAAAAGAACAUCUACCCUAACAACAGUGAAGAUUAAAGGGAUCAGUUGCUGUAUGGUGAUAUUGAAAGAAAUCCAGGACCUACAAUGGUUUAUGAAGACUUCUUAGAGCUUGCCAUAUAAGUGUCAACAAUUUUAAAGAACAGAGAAGACUAUUAUUGCACUUAGUUUUGAGUUUUUGUUUUAUAUUUUAUCACUAUGAUAGACUAAUGUUAAAUUCAGGAAUUGUAUUUUUCUGAUAUAUCUGUUUUGUUAUUACGUUUUACUCAUUUUUAAAUACGUUUGAGACGUUUUUUUUAUACCUUUUCCUACUUGAGUAGCAUUGACAACUAUUUUAAGUUUUUAGUAAGGUUACUUUCUUUGGGUUUUGUAUUAUAUAAUAUUAAGAUGUCAUACUUGAAUACCUUGUAGUUAUGAACUGUGUAUUUUACUUCUUGAUUCUUUGAUAUGUGUAGUAUUAUUCUCCCCCCCC